rnacentral:rRNA from 1 species
AUUGAACGCUGGCGGCAGGCUUAACACAUGCAAGUCGAGCGAGCGGCGGAAGGGUGAGUAAUGUUUGGGAAACUGCCCGAUGGAGGGGGAUCACUACUGGAAACGGUAGCUAAUACCGCAUACCAUCUGAUGUGCCCAGAUGGGGUUAGCUAGUAGGUGGGGUAAUGGCUCACCUGGGCGGCGAUCCCUAGCUGGUCUCGGAGGAUGACCAGCGACACUGGAACUGGUACACGGUCAAGCUUCCUACGGCAGGCAGCAGUGGGAAAUAGUGGACAAUGGGCACAAGCCUGAUGCAACCAUGCCGCGUGUGUGUAAAAGGCCUUCGGGUUGUAAGGCACGUUCAGCGAGGAGGCGUUACUCGCAGAAGAAGCACCGGCUAACUCCGUGCCAGCAGCCGCGGUAAUAC